rnacentral:lncRNA from 1 species
UUUCAGCGUUGAUCUCAUGAGCUGAGUGCUCUUUUGUUUGCUCGACCACUCGGGAGUUUGAUAUUGCUGAGAUCUGGAUAUGAUUUUCCCACUCAGAGGGGACUUGACUGUUAUUUGGUUGUAAAUUUUGACCCUGCGGCACUUUGAGAUGAUACCAGAAGCCAAGUCCUUUAUUCUGUGUGCAGCUGAAGUGGUUUUGCAGUCAUUGUCACUGAAGCCCUCGUGUUCAGUUAGCAUUCGUUUGCAGAACAGUGGAUGCGAGGAUGUCAGCCCAGGUGUUGCCGGCUGCAGAACGUUUCUGGUAGCUGCAGUUUCCUUUGGAGACUGCAACAUGGUUCGGACUCGCCAGAUGGCACUGCGCAGAUGGUGCUGCGUGGGAGACGACGUAUCCAGGGACAUCUGCAUCCUUUUAGGCACAUUUUCUCUUCUUUGAUGUUCCCUGCAACUCCUGAGUUUGGGAGCUGCUCCAGAAGAGCUGGUAAAUCCCUGAGCUUUCCUGGUUUUUCUGUGGGCCUUUCUAUGAAACGGUGGCGUACCAAAGGACAAUGA